rnacentral:rRNA from 1 species
GGUUAAGUGAAUAAGGGCGCACGGUGGAUGCCUUGGCACUAGGAGCCGAUGAAGGACGGGACUAACACCGAUAUGCUUUGGGGAGCUGUAAGUAAGCUAUGAUCCAGAGAUUUCCGAAUGGGGGAACCCAAUAUCUUUUAUAGGAUAUUACUUUUCAGUGAAUACAUAGCUGAUUAGAGGUAGACGCAGAGAACUGAAACAUCUUAGUACCUGCAGGAAGAGAAAGAAAAUUCGAUUCCCUGAGUAGCGGCGAGCGAAACGGGAAGAGCCCAAACCAACAAGCUUGCUUGUUGGGGUUGUAGGACUCCGAUAUGGUAGUCUGUUAGUAUAGUUGAAGGAUUUGGAAAAUUCCGCUAAAGAGGGUGAAAGCCCCGUAGACGAAAUGCUAACAACACCUAGGAGGAUCCUGAGUACGGCGGAACACGAGAAAUUCCGUCGGAAUCCGCGGGGACCAUCCCGCAAGGCUAAAUACUCCCUAGUGACCGAUAGUGAACCAGUACCGUGAGGGAAAGGUGAAAAGCACCCCGGAAGGGGAGUGAAAUAGAUCCUGAAACCGUGUGCCUACAACAAGUCAAAGCUCGUUAAUGAGUGAUGGCGUGCCUUUUGUAGAAUGAACCGGCGAGUUACGAUUGCAUGCGAGGUUAAGUCGAAGAGACGGAGCCGCAGCGAAAGCGAGUCUGAAUAGGGCGAAUGAGUAUGUAGUCGUAGACCCGAAACCAUGUGAUCUACCCAUGUCCAGGUUGAAGGUGCGGUAAAACGCACUGGAGGACCGAACCCACGUACGUUGAAAAGUGCGGGGAUGAGGUGUGGGUAGCGGAGAAAUUCCAAACGAACUUGGAGAUAGCUGGUUCUCUCCGAAAUAGCUUUAGGGCUAGCCUCGGAAUUGAGAAUGAUGGAGGUAGAGCACUGUUUGGACUAGGGGCCCAUCUCGGGUUACCGAAUUCAGAUAAACUCCGAAUGCCAUUCAUUUAUAUCCGGGAGUCAGACUGCGAGUGAUAAGAUCCGUAGUCGAAAGGGAAACAGCCCAGACCACCAGCUAAGGUCCCAAAAUAUAUGUUAAGUGGAAAAGGAUGUGGGGUUGCACAGACAACUAGGAUGUUGGCUUAGAAGCAGCCACCAUUUAAAGAGUGCGUAAUAGCUCACUAGUCGAGUGACCCUGCGCCGAAAAUGUACCGGGGCUAAACAUAUUACCGAAGCUGUGGACUACACCAUUAGGUGUAGUGGUAGGAGAGCGUUCUAAGGGCGUUGAAGGUCGAUCGUGAGGACGGCUGGAGCGCUUAGAAGUGAGAAUGCCGGUAUGAGUAGCGAAAGACAGGUGAGAAUCCUGUCCACCGUAUGACUAAGGUUUCCUGGGGAAGGCUCGUCCGCCCAGGGUUAGUCGGGACCUAAGCCGAGGCCGAUAGGCGUAGGCGAUGGACAACAGGUUGAUAUUCCU